UGCGUACCUUUUGUAUAAUGGGUCAGCGACUUAUAUUCUGUAGCAAGGUUAACCGAAUAGGGGAGCCGGAGGGAAACCGAGUCUUAAUUGGGCGUUAAGUUGCAGGGUAUAGACCCGAAACCCGGUGAUCUAGCCAUGGGCAGGUUGAAGGUUGGGUAACACUAACUGGAGGACCGAACCGACUAAUGUUGAAAAAUUAGCGGAUGACCUGUGGCUGGGGGUGAAAGGCCAAUCAAACCGGGAGAUAGCUGGUUCUCCCCGAAAGCUAUUUAGGUAGCGCCUCGUGAAUUCAUCUCCGGGGGUAGAGCACUGUUUCGGCUAGGGGGCCAUCCCGGCUUACCAACCCGAUGCAAACUGCGAAUACCGGAGAAUGUUAUCACGGGAGACACACGGCGGGUGCUAACGUCCGUCGUGAAGAGGGAAACAACCCAGACCGCCAGCUAAGGUCCCAAAGUCAUGGUUAAGUGGGAAACGAUGUGGGAAGGCCCAGACAGCCAGGAUGUUGGCUUAGAAGCAGCCAUCAUUUAAAGAAAGCGUAAUAGCUCACUGGUCGAGUCGGCCUGCGCGGAAGAUGUAACGGGGCUAAACCAUGCACCGAAGCUGCGGCAGCGACACUGUGUGUUGUUGGGUAGGGGAGCGUUCUGUAAGCCUGCGAAGGUGGCCUGUGAGGGUUGCUGGAGGUAUCAGAAGUGCGAAUGCUGACAUAAGUAACGAUAAAGCGGGUGAAAAGCCCGCUCGCCGGAAGACCAAGGGUUCCUGUCCAACGUUAAUCGGGGCAGGGUGAGUCGACCCCUAAGGCGAGGCCGAAAGGCGUAGUCGAUGGGAAACGGGUUAAUAUUCCCGUACUUGGUGUUACUGCGAAGGGGGGACGGAGAAGGCUAUGUUGGCCGGGCGACGGUUGUCCCGGUUUAAGCGUGUAGGUGUGUGUUCCAGGUAAAUCCGGUUCACUUUAACACUGAGGCGUGACGACGAGGCACUACGGUGCUGAAGCAACAAAUGCCCUGCUUCCAGGAAAAGCCUCUAAGCAUCAGGUAACAUCAAAUCGUACCCCAAACCGACACAGGUGGUCAGGUAGAGAAUACCAAGGCGCUUGAGAGAACUCGGGUGAAGGAACUAGGCAAAAUGGUGCCGUAACUUCGGGAGAAGGCACGCUGACACGUAGGUGAAGUGAUUUACUCAUGGAGCUGAAGUCAGUCGAAGAUACCAGCUGGCUGCAACUGUUUAUUAAAAACACAGCACUGUGCAAACACGAAAGUGGACGUAUACGGUGUGACGCCUGCCCGGUGCCGGAAGGUUAAUUGAUGGGGUCAGCGCAAGCGAAGCUCCUGAUCGAAGCCCCGGUAAACGGCGGCCGUAACUAUAACGGUCCUAAGGUAGCGAAAUUCCUUGUCGGGUAAGUUCCGACCUGCACGAAUGGCGUAAUGAUGGCCAGGCUGUCUCCACCCGAGACUCAGUGAAAUUGAACUCGCUGUGAAGAUGCAGUGUACCCGCGGCAAGACGGAAAGACCCCGUGAACCUUUACUAUAGCUUGACACUGAACAUUGAGCCUUGAUGUGUAGGAUAGGUGGGAGGCUUUGAAGUGUGGACGCCAGUCUGCAUGGAGCCGACCUUGAAAUACCACCCUUUAAUGUUUGAUGUUCUAACGUGGACCCGUUACCCGGGUUGCGGACAGUGUCUGGUGGGUAGUUUGACUGGGGCGGUCUCCUCCUAAAGAGUAACGGAGGAGCACGAAGGUUGGCUAAUCCUGGUCGGACAUCAGGAGGUUAGUGCAAUGGCAUAAGCCAGCUUGACUGCGAGCGUGACGGCGCGAGCAGGUGCGAAAGCAGGUCAUAGUGAUCCGGUGGUUCUGAAUGGAAGGGCCAUCGCUCAACGGAUAAAAGGUACUCCGGGGAUAACAGGCUGAUACCGCCCAAGAGUUCAUAUCGACGGCGGUGUUUGGCACCUCGAUGUCGGCUCAUCACAUCCUGGGGCUGAAGUAGGUCCCAAGGGUAUGGCUGUUCGCCAUUUAAAGUGGUACGCGAGCUGGGUUUAGAACGUCGUGAGACAGUUCGGUCCCUAUCUGCCGUGGGCGCUGGAGAACUGAGGGGGGCUGCUCCUAGUACGAGAGGACCGGAGUGGACGCAUCACUGGUGUUCGGGUUGUCAUGCCAAUGGCACUGCCCGGUAGCUAAAUGCGGAAGAGAUAAGUGCUGAAAGCAUCUAAGCACGAAACUUGCCCCGAGAUGAGUUCUCCCUGAGACUUAGAGUCUCCUGAAGGAACGUUGAAGACGACGACGUUGAUAGGCCGGGUGUGUAAGCGCAGCGAUGCGUUGAGCUAACCGGUACUAAUGAACCGUGAGGCUUAACCUUACAACGCCGAAG
rnacentral:rRNA from 1 species